GGUGACGAGUUAUUGACUGAGUGGCGGACGGGUGAGUAACGCGUGGGUAACCUACCUUGUACAGGGGGACAACAGUUGGAAACGACUGCUAAUACCGCAUAANCGCANNGCAUCNCAUGAUGCAGUGUGAAAAGUUUUUUCGGUACAAGAUGGACCCGCGUCUGAUUAGCUAGUUGGUGAGGUAACGGCCCACCAAGGCGACGAUCAGUANCCGACCUGAGAGGGUGACCGGCCACAUUGGGACUGAGACACGGCCCAAACUCUUACGGGAGGCAGCAGUGGGGAAUAUUGCACAAUGGGCGCAAGCCUGAUGCAGCGACGCCGCGUGAGCGAAGAAGUAUUUCGGUAUGUAAAGCUCUAUCAGCAGGGAAGAUAAUGACGGUACCUGACUAAGAAGCACCGGCUAAAUACGUGCCAGCAGCCGCGGUAAUACGUAUGGUGCAAGCGUUAUCCGGAUUUACUGGGUGUAAAGGGAGCGUAGGCGGUUUUACAANUCUGAUGUGAAAGCCCGGGGCUCAACUCCGGUAUUGCAUUGGAAACUGUAGAACUA
rnacentral:rRNA from 1 species